rnacentral:rRNA from 1 species
AUGUUUAUUGAAAUGGCACCAACUGAAGGUCGAUAUUUUCUGAAAAAUUUCAUAUUCCAGAUCAAUUCAUCCAGAACUUACUCUUUUUUUUUUGCGGGGUUAUCCAAAACUUCGUUACUACAGAAUUCAGAGCAUGGCUAUACAGUAUACUUGUAUUUCAUUCUUCUCUUGUUCCGAGCAUACAAUGUACACUCAUUUAUUCCCGCAAAAAGAAUGUACACUCAUUUAUCUACCAUGGAACUUGUAGAAAAUACGAGUAUUAUGUGUAUACACCAGCUUGCUGACAUACAUUUUUGUUUUCCUUUUGUGUUUUGA